rnacentral:rRNA from 1 species
UUCCGGUUGAUCCCGCCGGACCCGACUGCUAUCAGAGUGGGACUAAGCCAUGCGAGUCGACGUAGCAAUGCGUGGCGAACGGCUCAGUAACACGUAGUCAACAUGCCCAGGGGACGUGGAUAACCUCGGGAAACUGAGAAUAAACCACGAUAGGUCACGAUUUCUGGAAUGGAUCAUGGCCUAAAUCUACAUGGCCCCUGGAUUGGACUGCGGCCGAUCAGGCUGUUGGUGAGGUAAUGGCCCACCAAACCUAUAACCGGUACGGGCUCUGAGAGGAGAAGCCCGGAGAUGGGCACUGAGACAAGGGCCCAGGCCCUAUGGGGCGCAGCAGGCGCGAAACCUCUGCAAUAGGCGAAAGCCUGACAGGGUUACUCUGAGUGAUUUCCGCUAAGGGGAUCUUUUGGCACCUCUAAAAAUGGUGCAGAAUAAGGGGUGGGCAAGUCUGGUGUCAGCCGCCGCGGUAAUACCAGCACCCCGAGUGGUCGGGACGAUUAUUGGGCCUAAAGCAUCCGUAGCCGGUUCUGCAAGUCUUCCGUUAAAUCCAGCCGCUCAACGGAUGGGCCGCGGAGGAUACUACAGGACUAGGAGGCGGGAGAGGCAAGCGGUACUCAGUGGGUAGGGGUAAAAUCCUUUGAUCCAUUGAAGACCACCAGUGGCGAAGGCGGCUUGCCAGAACGCGCUCGACGGUGAGGGAUGAAAGCUGGGGGAGCAAACCGGAUUAGAUACCCGGGUAGUCCCAGCUGUAAACGAUGCAGAUUCGGUGAUGGGCUAGCCUUGUGCCAGCCCAGUGCCGCAGGGAAGCCGUUAAGUCUGCCGCCUGGGGAGUACGGUCGCAAGACUGAAACUUAAAGGAAUUGGCGGGGGAGCA